rnacentral:lncRNA from 1 species
UAUGAGUAUAGAAUAAAGACAUACAGUGUCUCAAAAAAUUUACCUCCUACCUAUCUUUGGGAUAAAGAUGCUUGGGAAGAUACUAGAGGACGUUUGUCAGCAAACUGGAAGAAGAAAUCAAGAGAAGAGAGAGACUCAAGAAAGCAGCAAAGGGAAGCCCCAGGACUCAUCUAUUCUUCCAUCCAACAAAAAGUUUUGGUUGCCUUGUCUAGGUAAUGGAUCUAGCAUAUCAGGUAAUAAGUGCUAAGAAGGAAAGUAAAGCACAGUUAAGAGACUAUCAGUGACUGGUGCAGGGAAAGCGUACUGUUUUAAAUAGAGUUGUCUGCGAAAGGCUGAGUAAGGUAAAAUUGAACAGAGACUUGAAUGAAGGGAGAGAAAGUGAGCCAUGCAAAUAAUCCAAAGAAUAGCAUUCUGAGGAGAGGGAACAAGUAUGUGCAGAGGUCCUAAGGCAGCAACACUGGCAUGUUUGAGAAAUAGCAAGGGAGGCUAGCUUAGCUGGACCAAUUUGUGGCAGGGAAAAAAGUACAGGAUCGUAGAGGAGUAGGGAUAAGGGGGCACAUCUUUAGUGCUUUGGAGACCAGGGCAGAUGUUUGGCUUUUACUCUGAGAUAUGAAACCAUUGGAAAAUUUAAGCAAAAGUUUCAAGAUUUGACUUAUACUUUAAAAGGAUUAUUCUGACUCCUUUCUGAAAAAUAGAUUGUAGGAGGGUAGGGAGUUAAGUAGGACAAUCAAUUAGAAUACUGUUUCAGUAGUCCAUAUGAAAGAUAUUUGCUUGGACAAGAGCAAUCAUGAUAAUGAGAGUAGUAGGAAAUGGUCAGAUCCUGGCCAUAUUUUGAAGUUAGAGACAAAUAUGAUUUGCAAAUGGAUUAGACACUGGUGCUUGCCUUGAUCCCCUUUCCAGGGAAGACUUGCUGAUGAGCCACAGGGAGUGUGAAGAACAGAAAUUCUCCAGAUAACAGGAUUUCAUGUGCAGCAGCUUCAGAAAACACUUUACCUAAGGGCACAUCCUCCCUAAAUCUGAGGACUGAGCAUGGUGCUGGUGUAAAAAAGCCUUGCCAUUUCAGCCCAAUGCAUCAUGUUAUGUCAGGCAAAACUCACUCCAGAGCUUCCUCCAUUGCAGCUUGACUUCUUCCUGCCCAAUUCUGCUGCUUCCCCCUCCCUUGACAGGUGUUCUCUGGUAAACAUCUUUCUGGCCAAAUUCCAUUCCAUCUCAGGAUCUUCCACAGAACCCAGCUGUGACAGUUGUCCCCAGGAGUGGUCUGAGCUGCCAUUGAGGACUCCAUCACACGUGACACAUGGAACAUAAGGAACCCCUGGCUCAAAGUGGUAGCUUUCACCAGUGUAAAACAAGAGGGUUUACCUGUGGAAGAGAAUGAAUUAGUGAGUGCAGUGUAUUGAGUAUUUGAAACUUAGGAGAGAACAGAUAGAUUAAAGAAUAGCAGAAUUAGAUGGCUAAGUACCACUAAUGCUCUGCAAAAAACAGGCAUCUUUAGUUGUACACAGAGCUCAUUAAGAACUGAAUAGUCUGAAUGGCUGAACUGGUAAUUGUCCUGGGAGAAGAAAUAUUUUAAGUCAACUACAGGAAGUCUGGAAUAGGGACCUAUGGAUAGACAUAUUGGCAUUGAUUGUAAGCAUAAACAGUGCAGGUCUCUGUUUCACAUGUAACACCCACAAGAGCAUCCACUACUGAUGAGGCACUAAUCAAUGAAGAAUACUGAAGAAAUUGUCCAGUUGACAUCACCCAUCCUGCCUCAGUCAUUGGCCAGCUGGUGCUGGUACUUGGGCACAUGAAUGGAGUGUCUACUGGGGAAGAGGUGAAGACUGAGCAUGGGUUCAACUGAGCAAGGCCGAUUUAGCUCCUGCUGCUGCUGAAUGCCCAACCUACAAGCAAUAGAAAGUGACGCUGAGUCCCCAAUAUAAAACCAUUUCUCUAAACCAAUUGUCAAGUUGACUACAUUAGGCCCCUUGAAGUUCCUUGACACAUAUUCCAGAUAUGAGGUUGCUUUUCCUACCCAAAGAGCCUCAGUCAGUACUACCAUCUGAGUACUUAUGCUCUAUUAGAUUUACUAGCAUAAGAUCUCACAUAAUGUUACAUGAAACUAGAGAAAUGGUUUUGCCAAAAAGGAAGUGCAACAGUGGACCCUUAUCCACAGAAUCCACUGAUAAUGGCACAUAUCUCAUCACCCAGAAAGUGCCAUCCUGAUAGAGCAUUGGAGCAACUUGCUGAAGGUACAGCUAAAUGCCAGUUCAGAGGUGAUACUCUGAAAGGGUGGGGUGCCAUACUCCCAAGGUGUGUUAUAUUCACUGGCUCAAAGACUGUGCCUCAAUACAAAAAGUACAAGUCUAGAAGCCAAGAGUGGAAGCAGAAGUGUCCUCCACAAUCACUUCUGAUGACCCUUAGGAUGCUACUUGUGCUUCCUUUCUCCACAGCUCUGAACUCUUCAUGUUACUUCCUAAAGGGGACAUACUUUUCCUAAGGAAUGUAGCAAAAAUCUCAUUGAAAUAUAAGCUGCAGCUGUUAUCUAGGUACUCUAGUUUCUUUGUACCCAAAGACCACCAGGUAAGAAAGCGAGUUACCUUCUUGCCUGGGAUAUUGACUCUUACACUCACUGCUGGGGUGGAAAGGAGUAAGUGUGGAACCUAUGUGAUACACUCCCUAAACUGUGACUGUAAUGAGUAGCUAUAACAAGUCUGUUCUGAAGAAUGCAUGAUGGCAGAAACUCAGGCCCCUCCAAGAAUGAGGAUCUGGGUCACAACACCAGGUAAGCCAACCACAGCAGUGGAGGCAAUGGAGGUAGUAGUGGAGGGUGAGGGAAAUCUAGAAUUGAUAGCAGAGGGGGAGAUGAUGAGGAUUGAUUGUAUUCCCCAGCCUUAGAACAGCAGUAGGGUCUGCAGUUUGUCCCACUAACCUCUAUUUUCUAAGUUCCCCUCAGAAAAAGAGACCUCUUCAUUCUCGUAGAAACUGCUCCCUAGAUAUAUACAUGGAGAAAUCUACUUAGGUGGAGCAAGGGGGUGCAUUGUGGUAAGCAAAGAUAGAGGCUGCCCAGAUAUGCAUUUGAGAAAGCACUUGCUGCCCAGCUGCAAGGAAUGAGGUCAGCAACCUCCAGCUGUCAGCUCCUUCGGAGUCUGGCUCAACUGCAGAGAGCCACUUUGCUUCAGAUCCUGUCCUUCCCAUCUAGUGAGUGAGUGAGAUCAGCUGAAUGUAGCUGCAGAAGUGACCCCAGCACACAUGGAGAGCAACACUAUCUAAGCAGAGAGCUGUGAGAAAUAAUACACAAUGAUGAUGAUGAUGAUUUUACCUUUUUAGGGCCACACUGGUGGCAUAUGGAGGUUCCCAGGCUAGGGGUUGAAUCAGAACUGUAGCCACAGCCACAGCCACAGCAAGGCAAGAUCUGAGCUGAGUCUUCUAUCUACCUCACAGCAAUGCCAGGUCCUUCACCCACUGAGCGAGGCCAGGGAUCAAACCUACAUCCUCGUGGAUACUAGCCAGAUUCAUUUCCACUGAGCCAUAACGGGAACUCCUGUGAUGAUUAUUAUUUUAAAACUAUACACUUUUGGGGGUGCUUGUAUUCAGCAACAUAUACAGAAAUUGGUAUCUGGGGUGGCAUGUUACAUAAAAUGCCAAAACCUAAGGCACUGGCUUUUAGGUUGGGUAGCUGGUGGAGACUGGAGGAGUGGCAAGUAGACUAUUAGUGGAGGACAGAGGGAUGGUGUGGUAGAAAGAUUAAUGCUCCCCCACCCUGAGAUGUCCAUAGCCUAAUCCCCAGAACCUAUGAAUGUGUCACCUUACCUGGUCAAAGGGACUUUUACAGAUGUGAUUAAGGAUCCUUAGGUGUGGAGAAUAUCUCAGAUUAUCUAGAUGGGCUGAAUACAAACACAAGUGUCCUGAAAGUGGAAGAGGACUACAUAAGAGGAGGUCAGAGUGAUGUGAAAUGAGGACUAGACCCACUGUUGCUGGCUUUGCAGAGGGAUGAGAAGAACCACAAGCCAGGGAAUGUGUGCAGCCUGUGGAAGCCAGAAGAGGAAAUGAAACAGAUUCCUCUCCAGACCCUCCAGAGAGGAAUGCCAUUCAGCAAACAUCUUGAUUUUAUUCCUGUGAGAUCAGUUCAGUGUUUGUUUCUAAUCUAUAGACCUAUAUCAUAAUAAAUUUGUGUUAAGCCUGCUUGGUUUAGUGAUAUGUUACACAAAUAGGAGAAAAAAAUAAUACAAAUGGUUGGGAGGCUAUUUACCAAAGCUUGAAGACUAGUGAACAAACUCUUAGUAGAGGGUAGAAAGGCAAUUAUUAAAUGCUGGAAAAUGUAGGACCUGAGUUAUAUGGUAACAGAAUACUUGGCCUAUUUUGCCUGCCAUCACAUAAAGAUAGAAAAUGGGUUUAUAGAUCUCUUUUGAGUUUAUUGGUCUCAAGGAGGUUUCCAGGCAGAGUAGUGAAAGUACCAAGUAACUUUUUAUAACUACUGAUGAUAAUGUACAAGAAGGGAGAAAUGACCUAUAGAAGGAACUAUUUGAUUUAAAAUAAGAAUUUAGAGGAAAUAUUUCCCAUCCAGUCCUUGUCAUUUCUUAGGGAAAAGGAGAAUGACUGGUGAGCUGAGUCAUAAUUCCAGAGGGAGGAGCCAAGAAGCAAGAUGAGGAAUGGAUUAGGAAAUCAUCACCAGGGGAAUGAAAUGAACCACAAUCAAAGACUAUCCCUUGCCUUCAGUGUAGGGGCCCUUACAAUGAUUUUAGUUUUGUGUCUGCUGUUUCCCUGAUCCCCUUUUUGACUGCAAGUGUCUUGUGGUUUUUCUAUCCUAGAAAACUUGGAUGGAGAGAAGCCACUCCCAAGUAGCCGUACCUGAGGUUUUCUCCAUGUUCUGGACCUGAUGUGGGUGAUGAUACUGAACUUAAACUGAUGUAAUCAUGGGAUGAAACUUUUAGGGCACAAGGUUUCUUGGGCAUCUACAUAAACAGCUCUAUCAUUUAUGAAUAGAGGCAAGUUUUUUUCCUUUCCUUCUCACCCAGGACAAGAUGGCUGAUUAGAAAGACAUUUCCUGCAAGAGACCUGAUCUAGACAUAUCUACAUCAAGUCAGAAUGCUCGGGCACCAUCCAAAAGGGCAGAAAAUAUGUUCUGUGUUAUUAAAAAUGCCAGAAUGGAGGUACAAAGUAGUACAAAUUUACACAAGGAACUGGCGAUCCCAAGAAAUGGUUAAAAUAG